AUUGAACGCUGGCGGUAUGCUUUACACAUGCAAGUCGAACGGCAGCACGGUGACAGCUUUGUUUGCGGGUGGCCGACUGGCGGAUGGUUCAUCGAAACAUCGGCAGCUACUUUUGCGUGCGUGGCAACGGAUAGGCACUUACCCUAUUCCCUCAUACGAUCUACGGGUGAAAGCAUCGGAUCUUCGGACAUCGGGCGGUCGGAUGUGCGGAUGUCUGAUUAGCUAGUUGGCGGGGUAAAGGCCCACCAAGGCGACGAUCUGUAGCUGGUCUGAGAGGACGACCAGCCACACUGGAACUGAGACACGGCCCAGACUCCUACGGGAGGCAGCAGUGGGGAAUAUUGGACAAUGGGCGCAAGCCUGAUCCAGCCAUACCGCGUGCAGGACGAAGGCCUUCGGGUUGUAAAGCGCUUUUGUUGGGAAAGAAAAGCCGCAGGCUAAUACCUGGCUGUUAUGACGGUACCGAAAGAAUAAGCACCGGCUAACUUCGUG
rnacentral:rRNA from 1 species